CCGACCGCCCGCCGUCUCCAGCACACCGUCACCGUGGUAGCAAGGGUGCUUCCCUGUCUCCUUCAUCCUCCUGCAUCCCCGAUGCUUAGCCCCCAAGCACUUCUAACCCUAGCUUGUGCGCUGGAGUUUGGGGAGAGGCCAAGGUGCAGUGGUGGAUGCCGCCGUCCCUCUCAGAUCCGGGGCUGAGAGAGAGAGAGAGAGGUGGGUAACCUGCGAGAGAGAGUACUCGCACCCUCGCUUGUCACCCAGGCGCCGUCACCAUCGCUGCCACGGCAUGGGCUUCCUCCGAUCUGCACCCGCCGGUUCGUUUGAAGAAGGAUCUGGCCGUUGACUGUUGGUGCUUCCCCUCCCCCGACGAUCUGCCAUAACUUGGGAUAGUACUUCUAUCCAGCAAGCAGCGCUUCGGCUGGGAGCUCAAGCUCAAGCAUAACGUCCGAAAAAAGGGCUCUAUCUGCUAAUGGGGUAGCCGGCAAUGCAGUCUAAGGGCUGGCUACUACUCAUCUGAUUUCUGGAUAUGAGAGGAUGAGAACUUGAGAAGAACAAGCUUGAUGCUAUGAUUGCGAAAAAACAUGUACUACAGGUGAGAGUUGAGACACGCCAUACACAGGCUCUGCAAGAUGGCGGAAAUAGACCUCUUCGUCGAUGACUUCUACGAGGACGAUAUUGACCUAGAGGCUGGAGCUUUGCUACUCUUUCCGACUAACAACAAGGUAUCGUUUACUUUUUCUCUCCCCACAUACAAUCCUUCCCUGUUCCUGUCCCCCCUGCUUAUUUCUUGCUAUAGGGCAACACACUGCAAGUGUUUGUUAAAUUGUUAGUCUCAAUGCUCCAAUUCUGGCAGAAGGAUUUAAGGUAGGAAGACAUAGCACCAACCAAGGAUUUUCGGUAGGAAGACAUAACAUCACUCAUGGUUAUAUGGAUUUAAUGUUGUAUUUCUGUAUUUUUGCAAAAUUACUUCUGUGAAGCUUGUAGAUUAUUUCAGUUCUUCAGUUGUUUUACACUUAGGCUUGUAUUAACUUGCAACUUCUUUUCUCCAUAAUUUUGCAACAAUAGUUCUGUAGUACUUGGUACAGUUUUUCUGGAAUCAUGAUAAAAUACACAUAUAUCUAGCCGUUUGUAUUUCGACAGCACUGCUUCUAAAGAUUUUAGAGUUUUAUUUUCACUAUAAAUUUGCUUUAGUAGUUCUGUAAAUUCCAGAAUAUUUCAGUUAAGGGGUUCUACUCUUAGGCUUGUAUAGACUUACAACAUCUUUUAUUUGCAAUUUUGCAAUGAGAAUGGUUUCACAACUGUAGAUAGUUCAGCUUUAUAAGGCCAUUGUAUCCAUGAAGAAAUUUGUUAUUUAUUUCUGAAUACAUCUCGUACCAUUUAUCUGUACAUUGUAGAGCAACUCAUAUUGGUGUAGCGAUGCAUUUUAAGAUAUGGCAUGAAGCUAGCUAAUGGAUUUUAUUAUUUCUAGCAGCAUGUGAUUCACUGAACAAAAAAAGGACUGCACUCACAUAUGAAAUGCUUGCAAGUUUUAGAAAAAUGAAGCAAAGGACAAGUGGUGUAGGUAAGGGCUUUAAUUUGUUAGUACUCCACUUGCUAUGCAUCAAGAUUCAAUCAAGUAGGAUUCCCAGUGUAUUUGCAGUUUUUACAUAGUGUUUUGCAUGUGAAUUGUGGUCACUACUGUCAAUCCAUGGAAAGUUAAAUGUAUAGUGA